rnacentral:lncRNA from 1 species
GCUGCGGUGCUCCGUCCCGUGAGCUAUGUUAUACUGAUUGGUGCUUCUAAAACCGAACCACAUGAAAUCAAAGCAACUGGCGCACUGAAAGCACGGUUGUGGAGUGUGUAUUUCCAACAGAAAUUUUUAGCUUUUCAAAAUUUCCACCAUCUAGAGAGAGACAGAGUAGAGGUCUGUGCUGCCGUAUCCAGAAAUCCAGACCAGAUAUUCCUCACCGUGUAUGCAAUCUGUAAUUUAUACUCCCUCCGUUCCGAAAUAGAUGACUCAACUUUGUACUAACUUUAGUAAAAAAUUAGUAUAAAAUUGGGUCAUCUAUUUUGGAACAGAGGGAGUAUACAGGAAAACGGUUGGUAGAUGAACCCUGAUUGGUCAAAACUGCUCACAAGUUGUGUUUCCUGGAACUCCGGACCGUUCCAGUCUGUACGCUUUGGCCUGAUCUGGAAAACCAUGUGCUGGCAGUGCAGCUCUCUGGACAUGCGCGAGAGAGCUACUGGCUUCUGCAAGGCCGUUGGAGCCAAGCCACGGUAAACUCAGGAUAUAUAUCCGCAGUCGUUGACGUGCUAGUAACACUGGCCGGCUCAUCCUCAGGGAUUCUGAGGUACCAAGAGUGUUUUCUUAGCGUAGGCCCGAGAUUUUGGGAGCGUAGUAACAAAGCGACGUGGACUGCGUCGUAUGCAACAGAAAACGAGCGAUGUGGACUCGGGCGUACGAACAAUCAAUACAGUACAGUACGCUUUUCUUUUCUUCUCUGAGGGAAAUACUACUACAUACAGUACGGCCGUCGCGUCAGUGUCCGACCCUCUGUACUUGCCAGGCCCCGGUCUCUAUUGUUGACUGGCAACGAAUCUAUCGGGGGAAGGGUAACAAAUUCCACGUUCCCGCCGGCCAACUCUCCUGUUGGAAGGUGACAAGCUGCCCGUGACCCACGCCGGCCACUUGACCACAGAUCCAUCGUAUCCCGCGGCAUGUUUCGUUUGUGAGUGCCUAGUGGCUAACUAGUAGUGUGGCGACUAUGCAUGGAGCUUAAGGAAUAAGGAAGAAGAACAUGUCCCCUUAUAAAUAAAAAAGAAAGAAAAGGAAGAACAUGCCACCUACUCCUACAUUGGAAAGUCAUUAUGGGUGAUGCAAGGGUGUCGUCUCUUUGAUUUCAUAUCUGUUUUGAACUUAGAACCAUCUCAAGAGGCGAUGCAAAAAUCAUCAAGAGGCGAUUCGAAAUCAUACAAAAAUGAUUGUGUCUUAAUUUGUGCCACUCGGAGAUACAAGAGGCAACAAUUAUCUCUAACUUUUCCCUUGGACUGAACACACCGCAACCAAGGCUUAAAAUCAUCACAUCUUUCUUGCACUCUCUCGUGUCAAGCAAGUUGCUGACACGCACGAAGGAACGCUGCAUCCCGGCCGUCUAUGGGCUCGAUCCGACGGCUCCCGGAGUCCCGGUGACCCCUCCCCUUCUCAUUUCAAACCGGCCGGCCCACGCCCCGCCGCGCCCGCGCCAAACCCCGCCUUCCUCCUUCCGAUCCGAGCCUCCCGCGCCGAGCCGCGACUCUCACUGACAGCCGGGCUCCCACCACGUUACCCCGCCCGGCCGGUACGAGCUCGGCCGCUCUGAGGCUUCGACCGGGCCCACGUGGCAGCGAGAGAGGAGGCUCGCGGGGCGGCCGCAGCUUCGUGGAAGCUUCCCCCGAACAAUCUCCUCGAGAACGAGUCCCCAUUCGCGACCGAAAUCCGGGCCGCAGAGACAGAAAAAACAAAACAAAUCACCAAGCUCCGCACCAGCACCACAGUGGCGAAGCCGCAACGUACUUGCGCCGGCCUCGCCCGUGGAACCUUCUAGAGCCUUGACGGCUGGAGCGGCAGGUGAGGCGAGUGAUCCCUGAGGUGUUCGAUCGAUCCCGCGGUGAUUUGGUUGUCUGAGUGCUCCUGUGUGUGUGUGUAUCUGCAGGGUUUCUGGUCGUCGUCGUCGGUGUCGGUGUCAUCUCUCCUGCGAGCGCUGCCGCGGACGCGGCGGCUGGCUGGUGUCUGAUUGUCGGGCAUGGCGGUCGGGAGCUCGCCGACGCCGCCGGAGAUCCGCUCGCCGGAGCGGGACAGGCCGGAGGAUGCGGCGGGCGCGGAGGGGGAGGAGGAGGAGGAGUUCGGUGACGCCUUCGAUAUACCCCAUAAGAACGCAUCCCACGACAGCUUGCUCCGAUGGAGGGUACGGGAUCCUUUCUCCCCUCACCCUUUUCCGUCAGACUGUGAUCUAAGCCGGACUCUGCUGGCUCGCAAAAUGCCCAAAAUAUCGCCAUUCUGGUGUUGAUUCCGUCCUGGCUGGAAUCGGGACGUGCUAAUUCUGCGCAGGAAGAAGAGGGGGUAGAAGAGGAAUAAUCAAACACUAAUGUUUUUCGUCUAGUGGAUACACUACACUGAGGUUUACUGACAUGUCAUUGACCCGAUGAUUUACAUAUUACUUUCAUUUUUUGUCCGCGUUUCCUCUAAGUCAAGGCAUUGGAGUCUGUUUGGCGACACUACCUUUUUUACUGCCGUGCACAUGCACAGAGCGGCAGAUAACUUCUCAUAAUAAAACUGAAAACACAACCAAAGUACUGAAACCAGAGGUCUGUCAUUCAUUCAUCCAAACAAUACUGGUUUUUGUGGUAUUCACAGGUUUGGGACAUUACAGAAAGAAGCAAACAGUAACACUUUUACUACAGCUAUAAAAUCACACUUAUACUUCAGCUAACCAGGCACUUUUGCAUAAUAGUUGUGAGUUGGGUUCAUUACAGUUUGCUGUGGCUACAGGUGAAGGACUCUUCGGGGUAGACAAAUAUGAGCCUUACUUAUUAUUUAGUUCUGAUAAAUAUGUCUAUUCUCUCCUUUCAGCAAGCUGCUCUCGUGCUGAAUGCUUCACGUCGCUUUAGAUAUACUCUAGACCUUAAAAAGGAGGAAGAGAAAGAGAUAAUAAGAAGAACGAUCCGAUCACAUGCACAAGUGAUACGGGUAACGUGUCGUUUUGCAGCUUAUGCACCCUAUUUCUCUUUCGGCUGUCUUCUUUUGUUCAUUCUAAUUUUGAAUUCUCCAGGCAGUAUUUCUUUUCAAAGAAGCUGGAGAAAAUGAUCCCAGAGGUACUCAUUCAUACCAUUAACCCAAGUGCUUCUUUUAUGCUAUGUUUAUGGAUGGCACUGACCCAAACGGUAGAAUAACUUUGGUUUUCUACAUUUCCUUCCUAGAUUGCAUCUGUGCUUCUUAGCCACAAUGUACCAAAUGGUGGGGUUAUAUGCAAACAUCAUGAAACAAAACAGUUCCCAAAUUUCAUUGGUAGCUGUAGUCAUUCAUUUCUCUGAUUUGCCUUUUUAAAAUUGAUCUCUACUUCUAAAUGUGCAAUAUUACAGCAAAAUUUCCAGCUCAUUUAUUUCGUACAAUGCAGCCGCUAUCUUUAUUUGUCUUACCAGCCUAUUCUCCACAUUUUCCCUGAUCAUUUUGCUUGUCUUAUUGUUGCCAUUUCAGUUGUAUUUUUCUAAAGGGCAGUCUUUUCACUUUAUACUUGCAAUUAGUCCAUCUAUUGUAUCUGUGCUUAUUUUGCAUACAAUGUAAUUUAUAUUCUUGUGCUAUUUUCAAUGUUCCUCAUCUGGGCAGAAGCUUAUACUGGUAUACAACUUGCAACUGGCUCUCGAAGUUUUCCAAUUGAAUUGGAAAAGCUUAAAACUUUAAACAGAGAUCAUGAUAGUGUUCUUCUUCAGGAAACUAGAGGAGUAAGUUAACACUGAGCUAGAAUUUAUUUAUUUUAACCUCGUCACCUGCUGCUAUUCAUUUGUGUGUAAUGACACUCUUCUUUUCAGGUUAAGGGGCUGUCAGAUUUAUUAAAGAGUAAUUUAGACAUGGGAAUUAAUCCAACUGAGGAUGAAUUGUUACAAAGGAGGGAUGUUUUCGGAGCAAAUACAUAUCCACGCAAGAAAAGAAAAAACAUACUGGUAUAGCUUUUUAAUGUUAUUUCUGUAAGUAAAUUGCACAAGGUCAAUCUUGCAAGUUUCUAGCCACUUGCAAUUUCAGUUUCCUUAUGGGACAUCUGCUCUCUUCAUUAUCUAGUGUCUACAUAUCUCUUCAUCGUUCCUUCUUUAGUGUAUGCUUUUUGUGUGUCCAAGCAGGGUUAAGCGUUCCAGUUACAUAAAAGUUGUAUUUUGGCAUAAGCUCCUCACGAAAUUCGAAGGUCACUAUUGGAAAAUUUAAAGUGCAUCUAUGCUGCAUAUUAGAAAAGUUGAUUACGAAGUAGUCCUAUGAGACUUUCUUUCAGUCCAACAUCAACUCAAUUUCAAUGCUUCAACAUAUUUGGUAUCAAAUUUUAACCAUACUGAAUUUUGGUAUUGCAGCGUUUUAUAUUUGAUGCAUGCAAAGAUUUAACUCUCAUCAUUCUAAUGGUAGCUGCUGCCAUAUCUCUUACGUUGGGCAUGGCCACAGAGGUAUUUUCUACCUCUUCACUAAUUGUUUCCUUAGAAUUAGCCUUUCAUCAUGUCAUCUUCCUUAGCCAUGGUAGUUUUGAACUUGAAUAAUUGUCAUGCUUUAAGGAUAACUAUAACUGCAUUUGUUAUUUUUUUUUCUCUUAUCUAGGGUGUUGAGGAAGGAUGGUAUGAGGGGGGAAGUAUUUUUUUAGCUGUUUUUCUUGUGAUACUUGUCACCGGUAAUUGAUUGAGUUUGCACAUUUCCUAUUAUAUUUGUUUUGUUUUUGUCUUCACCUUUAGCUUGCUGUGAUCUAAUUGUUUUGUUUUUGAUCUAUCUAGCAACCAGUGAUUACAGGCAAUCACUUCAAUUUCAACAUCUGAAUGAGGAGAAACAGAACAUACAAGUAGAGGUGAGUAUGAUCAUGUGUAACUGUAUUUUUGUGCAGCAUUCCCACUUUUGCUUACAUUCCUGAUUUACCAUAUCUUUUAAUUAGGUUCUUAGAGGUGGUAAAAGAUUUCGAACUUCAAUAUUUGAGCUUGUUGUCGGUGAUGUGGUUCCGCUGAAUAUUGGUGACCAAGUAAGAUGGUAUAUUAUUUGUCAACUCUGUUUAUUUUUUCACCCUAGAAUAAUUUGCUUACAUUCAUUAUUUCACAUUUUAGGUUCCUGCUGAUGGUAUCCUGAUAUCUGGCCAUUCUCUUGCAAUAGACGAAUCAAGUAUGACUGGGGAAUCAAAAACUGUGAGUUCCGGUGCAAAACUUCUUUCUUGUGGCGAUUCAAACAUACUUCUUUUUUGCGGCGAGACUCAAACACACCUCUUCGGAUUUUCAUGAUGUCAUAUCAUUUUUUAGGUUCACAAGGAUCAAAAGGCUCCGUUCUUGAUGUCUGGUUGCAAGGUUGCAGAUGGCUAUGGUUCUAUGUUGGUGAGUACCACACUACCACUAUCUUAAGUUUUUUUUUUGCGGGGCACUAUCUUAAGUGUUUAAGCAACAUGUUAGGCUAACUUACUGUUUUCAGUGUCACAAUACAUAGCAUUUUUCUCUCCCUUAUUUGUGCCUUUCCUAUAUUUCGAUUCUUAAUGGUUAGACUUUAUAUAUCAUAAUAUUUAUCCACUUUGCCUAUCAAAUACAAAGGUAACAGGUGUGGGUAUCAACACUGAAUGGGGCCAGUUGAUGGCUAACCUUUCUGAAGAUAAUGGUGAAGAAACCCCAUUGCAGGUUAAUCUCUGUUCGGACUCAUCUAUAUUCUUGCAUGAAUGAAUACUGAUGAGACCCUUUCAACCAUGGAGUAGGUGCGUUUGAAUGGUGUUGCUACUUUUAUUGGCAUGGUGGGUCUGUCAGUAGCUGGUGUUGUACUUGGCGUGCUUGCGAUAAGGUAUUUUGCAUGAUAAUGCAGCACAAACAAAUAUACAUACUCUUUAUAACCACUUACUGAACUACAGAUAUUUUACUGGACAUACCAAGAAUCCGGAUGGGACUGUUCAAUUUCGGGCUGAAACUACUGGUCUCAAACAAGGAUUUAUGGGUGCAAUCAGAAUUUUAACAAUCGCCGUAUGUAUUUUUUGUACAAGUAUACAGCUAAUAUCUUGAACCAUUUUCAUCCUUUGGUGACCUGAUUUUGUGUAAUACUAUCCAUAGGUAACCAUCGUAGUUGUUGCUGUGCCUGAGGGACUUCCACUGGCAGUAACAUUGACGUAUGGAUCUCCUUACUGUGCAAAUUACUUGAAAAUUUCAGUCACAUGACUAUCUAUAUUUUGUGGUUUCAGACUUGCGUAUUCAAUGCGAAAGAUGAUGCGAGACAAGGCGCUGGUAAAAAAACAAUCCUAUUUCUGUAUAAAACAUUCACAUGAUAGGAAACUUUAUCAUCCUUACUUUCUUUAUUUAGGUGAGGCGGCUCUCAUCUUGUGAAACAAUGGGAUCAGCAACUACUAUAUGCAGUGAUAAGACAGGAACUCUCACCUUGAAUAAGGUUUGUAGAAUCAAUCUGGUGCUUGUGCCAUGAAACACCGUUUGAAGAUCUGUCAUGAUGCUAUUCCAAGUCCCAAUACGCUGCCCUGACAAGAGGCCAAUUCUUUCCAUUUACUUUAAGUCUUGGAACAUACCUGUCACUCUGUCAGCAUCGCAGAACCAAAAUUAACACAAAAACAUCACCAAUUUGAUGCCAGGAUCUUUGGGUGUUGAUAAUACAUUUCUUUAUUGUUGUUGGUUACAAGCACAUCUUCUGCUAAUUUUGUCUUUGCUUGUGGCCUUUUAAAGACCAUGUCAUCGUGGUUCGUUUUGUAAUCCUUAUAUUAUUGAUUAUGUAGAUGACAGUUGUGGAGGCACACUUUAUCGGGACAAGGUUGGAUCCUUGUGAUGAUGUUAGGGCAAUCUCAAGCAGUUCAGCGGCACUGCUUAUUGAAGGAAUUGCACAAAACACUACAGGAACUGUAUUUUUGCCAGAGGUAUAUCAACUUUAUUUCUUCCUUCUUUUAAUAUUAUUAGAGGUACCUGAAUUAUCUAUUAAAUUAGAGGUACCUGAAUUAUCUAUUAUAUCAGAGGUACCUGAAUUAUCUAUUAUAUUAGAGGUACAUGCAUUAUCCAUUGUCCAGAAAAGCAAUAACAUACAGGUCACCAAUCUGUAAUGUAUAACCCAGCUAGCCUAGAUUUAACUGAAAAGAUCAGCAAUUUUGAUUAAGUUAUGACUGGUUACAGCCACUUUGUAAAGAUUUGUUAGUUUACUUUUUAUGUAAAACAUGGUGGUCCAUAAUGCUAUUUGAGGAACAUUGGAGAUGGUAAUAGCUCAGUUUUCGCCAUCCGAUCUUUAUUUUUAAUGUUUUUUCAGGAUUUUUUACUUUUAUCAUAGGAGUUCAACUUAGUGUUCUCUUCUGUGCUAAUCGCCUGGGAGUGAGUGAACUUUGCACGUGGUCCUGCUACGUUUGAAAUAUAAGUGGUCAACAGUGGACAACAAGCACCUGGCCUCCACUUGCAGCUAGAAACAUGCACGUUCUGUAGUUUCUCUGCAGUACUCCUAUUCACUUGCUUGUGCAUGUUGAUAAACUGGGAAAGCGUCAGGCAGGAGAUUACUAACUACUUUCUGAAAGUAGCAAGCGGAGAUUGAAUCACAUUUCAAAUGAGAUCGAGUGGAGUCCAGAAUAAUGUAUCAGCUGUCAACACUUUGUCAGUUCCACCAAAUCCAUGAAAAUUAUGCUCACUUGAGGUUCUUAGCAGUGUGGAAAUUGGGUGUUAACAGCUGGUUACCUGUAAAGGCACUGUCCGAGUUAAAGAUAUGAUCUCAUAAAAUUACCCCAAUUUUAUUAUUUCCUGCCAUUAACCAGACAGAAAUCAGAACUGGGCAGAUGCUUGGAGGCAGUCUAGGGAGAAUUCUAUGCUAACUGUCAUCUACAUAUAUCAGUUGCUUCCACAAAAUUUCAUCUGUCUUCUUUUCAAUGUAUAGGAUGGGGGAGCAGCUGAUGUUACAGGUUCACCAACUGAAAAAGCCAUUCUUUCUUGGGGCCUUAAGGUACUACUGAUUUUGCUUCACACAGAGUGUCUCCUUUAAGCUUCUUUUGUUGACUUGGCCUAACGCAGUUGCACCUUGCACAGAUAGGGAUGGAUUUCAACGAUGUUCGGUCAAAAUCUUCAGUUCUUCAUGUAUUUCCAUUUAACUCAGAGAAGAAGCGAGGUGGUGUUGCAGUGCAGGUAGUAAGGCGCAUAUGUAUCUAGAACCAUUGGUACAUCUAAAUUCGUGAAUUAGACGAGUGUAUCCAUGAAGAAUUUAACCACUUUUCAGGCUUAUUUAUAUUUGGGUGCUUCAUUAUUCCAAUCCUUUGUAAUUUACCACAUGUAGUUGGUAAUAUAUGUUUUGGUUAUUAGUGCUUGUGAGUUGUGAGAGUUGACGCUAUCAAGUUUAACAGCUUCAGGACUAUUGGCUCCUGGUAGGCUGAUGUUUGUUUUCCUGCUGGAUAUCUCCCGGGCAUGGCUUAAAGGACGAGCCAUAUUUCUCACUUGAAGCACUCAAAUAGGGUUAUCUACCAGUGGCAAACAGUUUCUCAAACUUGUUUAAGUUUAAUAUUAUACCAACCAGAAGGGUUUUGAGAGUCCCCUUCGUGAUGACCAGUUACUUUUGACGGCACAGAUGGCUGGUAUUGCCAAGUAGUUCUCGAUAUGAGCAUUGGAUGCCAUUGAGCAUUUGUUCUGAUUAUAGCAUCAGGAGAGUGUUCCUUGGACCUUAUGUCUUUUAGUAUGCACAGAUCUAUGAUUUGAAUUACGCAGUGUGUACGUUGUUUUGGUAAAAACUCCUGUUUUCUAUUGUUUCGUAGCCCAGUUUUUUGUUCAUGUUACCUCAAGGGUGUUUGGUUACUAAUUGCAGUCAGAUACCGGGGUCCACAUCCAUUGGAAAGGUGCAGCUGAGUUAGUGCUAUCAUCUUGCAAAAGUUGGCUUUCUCUGGAUGGUUCAGUUCAGCCAAUGGAUGCACAGAAGGUAACUGCCAUGCAUAAUUUGCCACCUCAAUUUCUUAUGCACUCUUACAAUGUUGAAAUGUUUGCAGCGUAAUGUGUACAAGAGAUCAAUUGAAGACAUGGCAAAGAGUUCACUACGAUGUGUUGCUUUUGCAUAUUGUCAAUGUGAUAUUGAAAAAAUUCCGAAGGAAGACAUAGCUGAUUGGAAGUUACCUGAGGAAGAUCUGACUCUGCUUGGUAUUGUGGGCAUAAAGGUUGGUCCUUAUUGUUCGGUAGAUUCACUUUCAGAUUGAUUGUAUCUCUUAAUUUUGAGUUUGACACAAAUAACUAGGGUUGCUUCCCGAUACCAAAAGAUAGCCCUGUGUAUAGUGUCCUAUUCCAUGCUCUAUAGUGCCUGUGCUGGGAACAUAGGGUAUUCAGUUAAUCAAAUAUAUGUUUCACUGAUGCAUCAGCUUGCGGCUAUAUGUAUGCUCAGAUAGACAGAUAGUAUACGGCUGAUCUGAUUCAUCGUCUUAUGAUUUUCACAACCUAUCCAUGCUUUCUGGCUUUUGCUAAAACAUGAAAUAUACCAGUAUGCAUCAUAUUAUCUCUAAAUGAUUCAUCGCCUUUUGUAUGUAUAUGAGGCAUCAUAAUUUGCAAGCAUAAUUUCUUCUGGUUAGUCAUACUGCAUUACUUGAUGACAAUAUCCAUCUAUUACUCCUGCUAUAAAGAGUAUCUUCGCCUGUAGGAUCCAUGUCGCCCAGGAGUGAGGAAUGCUGUACAAUUAUGCAAAAAUGCUGGUGUAAAGGUAUAUCCUACUUGUGUUCUUAUUUUUCUUGUUCUCAUUGGAAAUGUUUCACCUCUAAUCUAUAUUAGUCAUCGACGGAAUGAACUGUGAAGCUAAAUCCUCCAUGGUAUUUCUCAUGUUCUCAAUUAGGUCUAGCCUUUUACUUCUCACAGGAUUGGCUCAUCAUGUUUGUAGCUGGGCAAGGUUUCUAGCCAUUUUCAGUUUCUUUACUUCCUAUGCCAUGAUGCUAUUCAUAUAAUUUAUUUUGUAUUUUGGGACGUUCAAUUGUUUGUGUCCUAUUCAUAAAACAUGACUCUUUGUAAACUUUGACCUUGCUGGUUAGUUUCUCAAUCGUUACAAAACAUGUUAGUUUCUUAAAGUUUUUGUUUUCCUUAAAAUGGAUUUUUUUCGUCAUUUCCCCAUUUUGAAUGUCACUGCUUCUUUUGUUGGCUUUAAUAUUUGUUACAUUUGUACAUGUAGGUGCGCAUGGUCACAGGAGAUAAUAUUGAAACAGCCAAGGCAAUAGCGUUGGAGUGCGGAAUACUAGAUGCAAAUGGUGUUAUUUCAGAGCCAUUUGUAAUAGAGGGAAAAGCGUUCCGCGAGAUGUCUGAAAUUGCAAGAGGAGAGAUUGCUGACAAGAUAACUGUAACUCUCUCCAUUCUUAAGUCCCUUGUGUAUAUAUGUUAUACUGUGUUGAAGUAAUAAACUUUAUCUGUACUAAGCACAAUGAUGUUUAUGACUUACUUGAAGUCAUUUGAAGUGGUGAAUCCUUUUGUAUAACUUCUAGUUUUUCUAUCCUUCUCAGGAAGUCAUUUUCUUUGAAGUUUCUGACAUUCUUCUGAUUGUUCGACAACUAAUUAACUUUGAAUUUCAGGUCAUGGGAAGAUCAUCUCCAAAUGACAAACUUUUGCUUGUCCAAGCUUUGAAAAGGAAAGGCCAUGUUGUGGCUGUCACUGGUGAUGGCACAAAUGAUGCCCCUGCAUUGCAUGAGGUGUCAUGUGUAACUCAUGAUAAGCUAUUAGUGGUCAUUUAUCUUGAUAUUGCAGAAGCUUCUGAUUUAUUCUUAUAUCUAAUGCUUGAUCUGUUGUAUAGGCUGAUAUAGGUCUUGCAAUGGGCAUGUCAGGGACAGAAGUUGCUAAAGAAAGCUCUGACAUUAUAAUCUUGGAUGAUGACUUCACAUCUGUUGUGAAGGUUAGUGUUUUCUACGUUUUUUUUUGGAAGAAAUCCUUCUUAUGAAGGAUAACUGUUCUCAGCAAUCAUGAUGGAGUUUUUUUAUGGGAUGUCCCCGAAGGGACAUCAUGAUGGACUUUUUCUUCUGUAACAAACUGGCAUGGUGCUUUGACGGCAAUAUACCAUCAAAGUAACCUGUGAGUGAUAUCAUAUUUUGUGCUAAUUGCUAUCAGCUUCAUUGCCAAAAGAGAGAAAAAAUGCUAUUGGUUGACAGUGUGUAGAGAGUACAGUUCAUGGAGAAGCACAUAUAAGCCCGUACAUGUUCUGAUAUGCUGCCUUAUGCUGCUGAAUAGCCAUGGCAUGUUAAGACUUAAACAUAGUGUAUAUGCAAAAUCCUUUGUAGAUUGUGCUUAGGCACAAAUUCUGGUCGCUCAACCUUCUUGUGAUUUUGUGCACUUACACCUCUUAUCUCUUUUUCUUUUUUAGGUUGUUCGCUGGGGACGCUCUGUCUAUGCAAAUAUUCAGAAAUUCAUCCAGUUCCAGCUUACUGUUAACGUUGCCGCACUUGUGAUUAAUGUUAUUGCAGCUGUGUCAUCUGGUGACGUGCCUCUAAAUGCUGUUGAGGUUGGGACCUCUCCUUUUUUCUUCCAACUAUUUUUCAAUCUCUAAUAUUUUCAUUACUGCCAUUGCCACUUCUGUUGUGCAUGAAAGAUGUGCCGAAAUCUUAAUUGUAAGUACAAACACUUGUAUGCCAAGGUUGGCUCUCAUGCACUAUGUUCCUAAUUUGCAGCUUCUCUGGGUGAACCUUAUCAUGGAUACACUGGGAGCUCUUGCUUUAGCAACUGAACCACCAACAGACAACCUUAUGAAGAGACAGCCUGUUGGUCGAAGGCAUGUAAUAUCACCCUACCUGUCUAGAGUAUCGCAUUAUAUGUUUCAUGAAAUGAGUUGAACUGUUUUCUACAUAAUUUACAAUAUUUUCCCUGUUUUCUACUUCAGGGAGCCACUUGUGACCAAUAUUAUGUGGAGAAACUUGUUUGUCCAGGUUGAAUUUGCGUGACUCAUUUGUAUUCUUAGAGCAUACAAUUGUUGUUUCAUAUUCUUCUGUUGUUCUGAUUUACAUGGAAUUUUUGCAGGCCAUUUACCAAAUAGCAAUCCUUCUUAUCUUUAAUUUCUCUGGAAAAAAGAUUCUACGGCUGCAGAAUGAAAGUCCAGAUAACGCCGAGAAAAUGAAGAACACAUUUAUCUUCAAUACAUUUGUAUUUUGCCAGGUUGGUUGGAUAUUUUCUGAUUCAACAACUGUAACAGGGUGUUACUUAAAUUCUAUGGUGCUCUUUAGAUAGAUUAAUAUUGGUAUUUGAUUUAUCUAAUAAAUGUUCAUGUUAAGGGUAGUAUAGUGGCAGUGGUUGUCAUCUUAAAUAAACUGACCUACCAUGUAAACUUAAGUUACUCCUUAUAAUAGGAUAUAUCAGUGUAAAUUGCAUUCUGUAAAAUAUUAGACUUGCUGUGGAGCUGACACCAUGAAUAGUGACUGGCUAGCCUGUAUCUGACCUAACAUGGUAACAAAAGCAUUGCUACUUAUGCUCCAUGGUGUAACUCUGAGUUGUGAAAAGGGGCAUGUGUCAAGGGCCCGAGGUCUUACGAAAUAAAAUUCCUCCAGUUGUUCAAAAAGUCUUCAUGAUGUGAAAAGGGGCAUAUGUCCUUAUUGUCAAUUACCGUGUGGUUUUUUCUUAAACCAGCCACUUCAGUGGCUUGGUCUUAAGGUUUCAACAUAUGUGUAAUUUAAGUUAGCCCUAGUUAAGUGCCACCGGUAGUUGCCUAGUUAUGUAUGUUUCUCUCCUCAAACCGGAGAAAGCAGGAUGCCCAGAACAUUGCUCGGGUAAAUGCUGAAAUGUCAUUGAUUAAUUAUCAACAAGUGCUAGUGUCCUAUGAAACAUUGUGUAGGUCGCAAAUGUAUCGUUAGUUUGUCAGUCCUGAUAGUUGAUUGGGAAUCAGCCUAUAAGCAGUCUGAUGCCAUUUUGGAACCUUGGCCGUACAUACUGCUAGACACUAUUAUUAGUUGGUCCCAGUUUGGGAAUCAACAAGUGCGAUCUUGUCAAAUGCAGUGGCGGUCCCAGUUUGAGGUAAACCACCCGAGUGUAUUAUGAUCUAUGUAAACUUAUCAUUACCAAAAAAAAA